CCUACGGGAGGCAGCAGUGGGGAAUAUUGCACAAUGGGGGAAACCCUGAUGCAGCGACGCCGCGUGAGUGAAGAAGUAUUUCGUUAUGUAAAGCUCUAUCAGCAGGGAAGAAAAUGACGGUACCUGAGUAAUAAGCCCCGGCUAACUACGUGCCAGCAGCCGCGGUAAUACGUAGGGGGCAAGCGUUAUCCGGAUGUACUGGGUGUAAAGGGAGCGUAGACGGUUGGUCAAGUCUGGCGUGAAAUGCCGGAGCUUAACUGCGGAACUGCUUUGGAAACUGGCGAACUAGAGUGCGGUAGGGGUAAGCGGAAUGCCUAGUGUAGCGGUGAAAUGCGUAGAUAUUAGGAGGAACACCGGUGGCGAAGGCGGCUUACUGGACCGUAACUGACGUUGAGGCGCGAAAGCGUGGGGAGCAAACAGGAUUAGAUACCCGUGUAGUC
rnacentral:rRNA from 1 species